rnacentral:rRNA from 1 species
UACGGCGGGAGCUAGCGUUGCUCGGUAUUAAUGGGCGUAAAGAACACGUAGGCGGACUGGAAAGUCAGGGGUGAAAUCCCGGGGCUCAACCCCGGAAGUGCCUUUGAAACUCCCGGUCUUGAGGUCGAGAGAGGUGAGUGGAAUUCCGAGUGUAGAGGUGAAAUUCGUAGAUAUUCGGAGGAAUACCAGUGGCGAAGGCUGCUCACUGGCUCGAUAUUGAUGCUGAGGUGCGAAAGCGUGGGGAGCAACCAGG